GAUGAACGCUGGCGGCGUGCCUAAUACAUGCAAGUCGAGCGAACGGACGAGAAGCUUGCUUCUCUGAUGUUAGCGGCGGACGGGUGAGUCACAUGUGGAUCACCUACCUAUAUGACUGGGAUAUCUUCGGGAAACCGUAGCUUAUACCGUAUAAUAUUUUGAACCGCAUGGUUCAUAAGUGAAAGACGGUCUUGCUGUCACUUAUAGAUGGAUCCGCGCUGCAUUAGCUAGUUGGUAAGGUAACGGCUUACCAAGGCAACGAUGCCUAGCCGACCUCAGAGGGUGAUCAGCCACACGGGAACUGAGACAGCGUCCAGACUCCUACGAGAGGGAGCAGUAGCGAACCUUCCGCAAUAGUCGAAAGCCUGACAGAACAACGCCGCGUGAGAGAUGAAAGCCUUCGGAUCGUAAAACUCUGUUAUUAGGGGAGAACAUAUGUGUAAGUAACUGUACACAUCUUGACGGUACCGAAUCAGGAAGCCACGGCUAACUACGUG
rnacentral:rRNA from 1 species